GAAAACACUUUUAAUAGAAUGGCUGCAGAUUCACAAAAUUAUAUUUUCCGGAGGAAUCCACGAACUUCAGUAAGAAAGUUAUGCAGAUUCUUUCUAAACUUUUGGUAAUUUGGCCGAUCAAGUGUCGAAGAUAGACUGUUGGAUCUUGUGAGUGAUUGGAGUGCAUUUGUCAACCUUGAUCUGAAACCUGUGUCACACUGCUUCUCUAUCAACUCACUUCCCAACUUCUGGUAUAAACUUUGUUCACAGAGGAUUAACGGAAGAAGAGCAUCCGCAGCUGAGCCAACAAGAUCAGUGCUGUAAUCCUCAAAGAGGAGAAACUGUAGCAAUGAUCGAAGAAAUUGGCUUAGAAUCCCUUCCUGAAAGUUUCCUGUCUGAUCCUUGUAACCUGAAGCAUGGAGACCUAACCCCACUUCUCCAGCACUUUUUUGCUUGUAAUGGAAAGAAGCAAGCCCUUUAAUAGCUCUUAGACAUAAAUCAACAACCUCUGCAUCCUAUCACACAAACAACAGAACACAGUGAUCUUGGUUUCUA
rnacentral:misc_RNA from 1 species